UCAGGUAGGGAUACCCGCUGAACUUAAGCAUAUCAAUAAGCGAGAAAAAA
rnacentral:rRNA from 1 species